rnacentral:lncRNA from 1 species
GCCUUGGUCGGACACAGCCCAAACCUUCAGAGAGAGAGCGAGGGAACGAGGGAGAGGAAAAGGAAGGGGUCCUAGAUAAAUACCAGUUAAUGGGUCAUAAUGAGGCUUAAUGACAGACGAGACCUUCCUACUGAAUACAGAGAACAGCAGAAACAAACAAAUGAUAACAACAAUCAUAACAACUGCGUCCGCCUCCGUCUUUGUAGGCGUCACAUGAUAAAGGUGACAAGCAAUGAGUCGUCUGCUCCCAUUUCUUGAGAAUCUCCCCACAGAGAAAGCCAACACAGUUUGGCCUUUACUGAAGAUGACAAAACCCAUACAUUUGGGCUCUUCAGUAAUCGAAUGAUUUUCAUGAAUGGAAAGGACGUCCACAGACCAACAUUUUACACAUCAACCAACCAAUGUGCUCUUUGGUCCAGUAUUGAUAGGAAGCCACUGAGUAAAACAUAUACUGCAGACGAGAUGAACACACCUCCAUCCAUGUGCUUUAACUGACUACUUUGUAGCCCAGGACUGGACACAAGACUGGACACGAGACUGGACACAAGACUGGACACAGGACACAAAGCCAAGAGAGCAACAAAGCAAAGAGAAAUAUACAAAAGGAGUAACAGAGAUAUGUACAGAAGCUACUAACGGAGUACGAAAGAGACAUCUAAAAGAUAACAACAAAGAUGGACACCCUGGAUCCCUCUGCUCUCCCAGGUGCCACCACCGCCGUGACCUAUGACUCCAAAUCAGAGAUGGUGACCCUACCAGGAGGGGUUGUCUCCGUAGCAGGCAUCACCGUCAUAACCGGGGGCGCUGAACUGUCCUGUGGCUCCUGCAUGCUAGCCUUUGGUGUUUGGGGCACUCUGAUUGGCCUAAGCGUGGUUGCCCUGGGUAUCUGGGACCAAUCAGUGCAGGUCGGGGGCCGGACCUCGCACCUCCUGGGGCUGGGAUUGGUGGUUCUGGCUAUCAGUUUUGGGGUGGUGGGCAGUGUGGUGGGCUUUCGCUUCCUGACGAAGAGGAGGAGAGAGAUAACGAAGGAGGAGAGGGAGGAUGGGAAGGUGGUGCUCAUAGGGGAGAGAGGGAGGAGUGUUAUAAAAACUGUGACUGUGUAAAAAAAUGUAAAAAGAGGGGAUGAGAGAAAUACGUUUUCAAGUUAUGAUUAUUGCACGUAGUGGUCGGGCUGUGUUGCACACUGUCACACUUUAGUAUUAGUGGAAGAACAGUCAUGUUUUAUAUGUAUGUUAUGAAUUUGUUCCACACCAUAAAAAUGUAUUUUGGUUGAGUAAUUUGAAGAUUAAAUAUUUGACAAUCUCUGGCUCCAUGUGUAAACGCCAAUUCUUCCCCUCUUGUUCUGGUGUCACAUAAACAGACCUUUAUCUCUUCUCUCUUUUCCCUCCUCUUCAUCUUUCUCAAUCUCCCUCUUCAAUCUGGGUGGAAUGCAACAGGAAAGUGUGACGAUGAGAGGUUUCCUGUGGAAAACAAAACACAAUUUUCUAUGUGAUGCAAGUAGAUUACUUUUCACAUGGUCACUCUUCACUAUUUAGUCAGACAGGCCCACCGUUUGUAAAACAUUGCAUAACAUUUGCAUUAUCAAAUCAAAUCAAAGUUUAUUGGUCGCAUAUACAGAUUUGCAGAUGUAAUCGCAGGUGCAGCGAAAUGCUUGUGUUUCUAAUUCCAACAGUGUAGUAAUACCUAGCAAUAAUAAUCCAGAAGAAAUAUAUAUAUACUGUACAUGAUUAGAAUACACUAUAUACAGUACCAGUCAAAAGUUUGGAC